AAAUUAUGUGAAACCCCUAUAAUUCCGAUAUAACUUAGUAUACAUUAUCAGUAAUCAUUAUAAUUGUUAUGUUAAAUUAUUUUGUUUCACAGAGGUAACAAAUUUCCUUGCCAAUUAUGUCUAACUGUAGUUGUUGUACUAUGUUUUGUCAUCCACAGAUGCUUGUUGUCCUGUUUUGAUCCUCUUCAAAAGGUGGUUUAUAAUCAACUGUAAGACUUUGACAGUUGCUCUCAACAUUCUUCUAAAUGAAGGAAGGAAAAGAAAGAAAGGAAGAAAGGAAGAAAGAAAGAAAGAAGAAAGAAAGAAAGAAAGAAAGGAAGGAAGAAAGAAAGAAAGAAAGAGGUAGGUAGUGAGGGAGGGAGGAAGGAUAAAAAAAUAAGCACUCUAGUGUAAGAGAUAUUAAAGCAUUUUUCUACAGCUUAAGCAUUUAUAAAGUGAAAAUGAAGAUAAUAAGGGAAAUGAUAGCAAAGAUCAAGCUAGAGAAGUAGACAGGUCUAUAUGAAAUUUUACACAUUAUUCUAAGGACAAUGAUGAUUCAUUUUUUAAAGGACGUCAUUUUAAACAUUGCUUUCAAAAAGUCACCCUGGCUGAAGAUAUGAGAAUGAGUUGAGAAGUGGGUAGACAGCCUGGAGUCAGGAAGACUAGUUAGAUAAGAAGAGUUCACUCUUUCCUAAACAAGACAAUGGCAGGAUGCAUAAAACAACAUAUAUUUGAAAGAAAUUUUAACAACAUAAUAUAUGCGACUUAGAGUUUGAUUGCUUAUGGGGUAUAUAAAAGAAGGAAUGAAUUCUAACUCCCAGAUUUCAGGAUAAGUAAAUGGGCAGAGUAAGGCAGCAUUCAGUGGGAUGGGAAUACAGAAUUUCAGGCUGUUUCAGUGGGAUAAAUUCAAUUUGAAUAUUUUAAGUGUGAUUUUAAGUGUGUAUGGGUAUGUAAGUAGAGAUGUCCUAUAGGCAAGUAACUGUUUCUAUAUUGUACUGUAAUUGAAACAAAAGAAGUGAUUGUCUGGAGAAGAAUUUAAAUAGAAUUAAAAUUUAAUUGCAUUUUAUUUUUGUAUUAGAGAUAUUUAACCUUGAUAAAAAAUGAGUGGAAAUAAUAUGUGGCAGAGACUGGAAAUUAUUGAGAUAGCCCAAAUCCUCAUAGAGUACUAAUUUAAAAGUCCAAAUUUUUAAAAAAUUAAUUGCAGAAAAAUACUGAUAGAUGAGUAGUGUUGCUGUCCAUUUAUUUACCUCAUUAUUUUAAAUGUUCACAUACAAAGAAAAAAAUGAAAUUAUUGGCAUAGGGCUAAGUCAAUUGUUAGUAUGUUUCUUUUUGCCUUUUCUGACCAACUUGAAAUACACACACACACACACACACGUUGGAAAAAAAAUUUGGAAGAAGAAAAAUUUCCUACACUGUGCCUUAAUAUCACAUUAAGGACCAUGACCUUCUCAUGAAAGCAGUCUGCAUAUUAUUAGUAUUGUGUUUGGUAC
rnacentral:lncRNA from 10 species